AGCAGCCGCGGUAAUUCCAGCUCCAAUAGCGUAUAUUAAAGUUGUUGCAGUUAAAAAGCUCGUAGUUGAAUUUCGGGGUUAGUAGAUUGGUCAUGCCUCUGGUAUGUACUGGUCUCACUGAUUCCUCCUUCCUGAUGAUCCGUAAUGCCAUUAAUUUGGUGUUGCGGGGAAUUUGGACUGUUACUUUGAAAAAAUUAGAGUGUUUAAAGCAAGCUAACGCUUGAAUACAUUAGCAUGGAAUAAUGAAAUAGGACGUUCGAUCCUAUUUUGUUGGUUUCUAGGAUUGACGUAAUGAUUAAUAGGGAUAGUUGGGGGCAUUAGUAUUCAAUUGUCAGAGGUGAAAUUCUUGGAUUUAUUGAAGACUAACUACUGCGAAAGCAUUUGCCAAGGAUGUUUUCAUUAAUCAAGAACGAAAGUUAGGGGAUCGAAGACGAUCAGAUACCGUCGUAGUCUUAACCAUAAACUAUGGCGACUAGGGAUCGGAUGAUGUUAAUUUUUUAAUGACUCA
rnacentral:rRNA from 1 species